CCUACGGGUGGCAGCAGUGAGGAAUAUUGCACAAUGGGCGCAAGCCUGAACCAGCCAAGUAGCGUGAGGGAUGACUGCCCUACGGGUUUUAAACUUCUUUUAUAAGGGAAUAAAGUGAGGCACGUGUGCCUUUUUGUCUGUACUUUAUGAAUAAGGAUCGGCUAACUACGUGCCAGCAGCCGCGGUAAUACGGAGGAACCGGGCGUUAUCCGGAUUUAUUGGGUUUAAAGGGAGCGUAGAGGGGUUGUUAAGUCAGUUGUGAAAGUUUACGGCUCAACCGUAAAAUUGCAAUUGAUACUGGCAGUCUUGAGUACAGUGGAGGUAGGCGGAAUUCGUGGUGUAGCGGUGAAAUGCGUAGAUAUUACGAAGAACUCCGAUUGCGAAGGCAGCUUACUAAACUGCCACUGACAUUGAUGCUCGAAAGUGUGGGUAUCAAACAGGAUUAGAUACCCUUGUAGUC
rnacentral:rRNA from 1 species